AGGCAACGAUCUUUAGUUGGUCUGAGAGGAUGAUCAGCCACACUGGAACUGAGACACGGUCCAGACUCCUACGGGAGGCAGCAGUGGGGAAUAUUGGACAAUGGGCGAAAGCCUGAUCCAGCGACGCCGCGUGAGUGAUGAAGGCCUUAGGGUUGUAAAGCUCUUUUAGUGGGGAAGAUAAUGACGGA
rnacentral:rRNA from 1 species